GGUGGCUCAGGGGUAGAGCACUUGCCUCACAUGCAUGAGGCCCUGGGUUCGAUUCCUCAGCACCA
rnacentral:tRNA from 1 species